UCUACGACCCUACUCAGCGCCUUCUCGCUAAUUUCCGCUUCCAUAGU
rnacentral:SRP_RNA from 1 species